GGUUCCUUAGUGUAGUGGUUAACAUGUCUGCUUUACACGCAUAAGGUCCUGGGUUUGUGCCCCAGUGGAACCA
rnacentral:tRNA from 1 species